GGGCUUUUGGCACAGUGGUAGCGCGCACGCUUCGCAUCAAUUAGUGCAACUGCGUGAGGUCGAGGGUUCAAUCCCCUCAAAGUCCA